rnacentral:rRNA from 1 species
GACGAACGCUGGCGGCGUGCCUAACACAUGCAAGUCGAGCGAGGUUGCGGAUGGGUGCUUGCACCCUGAAGCUACCUAGCGGCGGACGGGUGAGUAACGCGUGAGUAACCUGCCUUAUACAGGGGGAUAACAACGAGAAAUCGUUGCUAAUACCGCAUAAGACCACGGUAUCGCAUGGUACAGGGGUAAAAGGAGCAAUCCGGUAUAAGAUGGACUCGCGUCCCAUUAGCUAGUUGGUGAGAUAACAGCCCACCAAGGCAACGAUGGGUAGCCGACCUGAGAGGGUGAUCGGCCACACUGGGACUGAGACACGGCCCAGACUCCUACGGGAGGCGGCAGUGGGGAAUAUUGGGCAAUGGGCGAAAGCCUGACCCAGCAACGCCGCGUGAAGGAAGAAGGUCUUCGGAUUGUAAACUUCUGUCGUCAGGGACGAAAAGGACGGUACCUGGCAAGAAACCCCGGCUAACUACGUG